CGAGGUGAACAGACGAUCGCGUGCCCAUGCGGCAUGAGGAAAGUCCGGGCACCAGAGGGCAAGGGUGCCGGCUAACGGCCGGUGGAGGCGACUCCAAGGAGAGUGCAACAGAAAUAAACCGCUGCCUUCGGGCAGUAAGGAUGGAAAGGCGAGGUAAGAGCUCACCCAGGAAUCAGGUAACUGUUUCCUGCUGUAAACCCCACCCGGUGCAAGAUGCAAUGGAGGCAAGCCGGCGGCCCGCCGCGUCCUCCGCAAUCGCUUGAGCCGUGCGGUAACGUACGGCCUGGAUAGAUGAUCGUCCAAUACAGAACCCGGCUUAUGGUCACGCUCGCCCG
rnacentral:RNase_P_RNA from 1 species